CUAUUUACUGUCCUUCGUCAAUAAUAUUUAUAUAAUAUUUAUAUAAUUGAGUGUGGUAUUAUUUGCUGGUUAUGUUUGUUGAAGUGGGUGAGAGAGUGAGGAACGUGAGUACGAACGAUUGGUUUGGUUUUUCGGUUAAUUGGGUUGGUUUUUUAGUUUUUUAUUUGAUUUAGUUAAUAUAUUGGUUAAUUACCAAAUUUGGCUAAACUUUUUGCUUAUAAUACGUGAAAUGUAGGUAUAAAUACAUGAAAUGAAUGUCUAGAAGCUAUAAAUAUUUUAAAAUAUGAACGGUUCGGUUUGGUUCGGUUGAUUUCAGUUAGGUUUUCAAUUCGGUAUCGGUUAGCCCUUUGGUUAUUGCUCACCCUUAUAUUUUAGUAUAUUGAGCUUUUAUUUUUCAUAACCAUUGUUUUUUUAAUUGUUCAAACAACUAGUGGGUUUCUCUUCUCUUAGGGUGUAAGGGGUGCUC
rnacentral:lncRNA from 1 species